UACGAAGGGGGCUAGCGUUUUUCGGAUUUACUGGGCGUAAAGCGCACGUAGGCGGACGUGUAAGUCAGGGGUGAAAUCCCGGGGCUCAACCCCGGAACUGCCUUUGAUACUGCACAUCUUGAGUCCGGAAGAGGUGAGUGGAAUUCCUAGUGUAGAGGUGAAAUUCGUAGAUAUUAGGAGGAACACCAGUGGCGAAGGCGGCUCACUGGUCCGGUACUGACGCUGAGGUGCGAAAGCGUGGGGAGCAAACAGG
rnacentral:rRNA from 1 species